rnacentral:lncRNA from 1 species
AUGAACCCAUCGGAGAUGCAAAGAAAAGCACCUCCGCGGAGACGGAGACACCGCAAUCGAGCACCGUUGACUCACAAGAUGAACAAAAUGGUGACGUCAGAAGAACAGAUGAAGUUGCCAUCCACCAAGAAAGCAGAGCCGCCGACUUGGGCACAACUAAAGAAGCUGACGCAGUUAGCUACAAAAUAUCUAGAGAACACAAAGUCUGCAGGUGUACCCAACAGCUCCGAAGAGACAGCGACCAUCGAGAACGGGCCAUGAUGACGAUGGCGGUUUUGUCGAAAAGAAAAGGGGGAAAUGUGGGGAAAAGCAAGAGAGAUCAGAUUGUUACUGUGUCUGUGUAGAAAGAAGUAGACAUAGGAGACUCCAUUUUGUUAUGUACUAAGAAAAAUUCUUCUGC